CUGGCGGUAUUUGGUAAUCAUGGUGGGAAAAAACAUUUGUUUUUAUUGGUAAUAUAAAGGAGACCUUCGCGAACCUGUGUGUGUAUGGUGGGUGAUAGAGCGAGGGAGCAGAAGGACGAGUAGAGUCCAUAGACUGAUGAUGAUGGUGGUGGUGAGGGCGCUGCUUCUGCUGGGUCUCGCUCGGGUCUUCCUGGCUCGAGGGCCAUCAGGAAACGGCUCCCAGUUAGUGGUGUGUGACAAGACACAGAUGUUCCAGUGUAAGAGUGGCAAGUGUAUCUCCAAGUACUGGCUUUGUGACGGCAACAAAGACUGUCCUGAUAACUCUGAUGAGGACCUAUGUCACCAGGGACAGGUUGCUAGAAAAUGCAAGGCUCAACAAUAUGAAUGCCAUAGUGGUCAGUGUCUUGUGACCAACCAAGUUUGUGAUGGUAUACAAGACUGUGUUGAUGGCGAUGAUGAAGAAAGCUGUGAUGUAAACGAGUGUAAGAGCAACACGAGCGUUUGUGACCACUUCUGCACCAACACCCAUGGAAGUUUCGUGUGUACGUGUGGUGAAGGGUAUGAGCUGCAGACAGAUGGAGUAACCUGCAAGACAAAGAAGCGUGACAGAGCGUUCCUAUUAGCAGCCGUGGACAAUGGCAUAAGAUCAUACAGUCUGGACCACACCUCUUACACACAGGUGUUUGGGGGAGACAAAGUGACAUUGGGUGUUGCUUAUGACCCACUGGAUCACAUAGUAUACUGGAGCGACCCUGAGGGCAUCCACAGCACACCUCUGCGUCCUCUACGUGCCCCUUCAGUUGUUGUUAAUAAAGGUAUUGGACUGGCCGAGAGCCUUGCUGUUGACUGGAUGGGGAGGAAUCUGUAUAUAGUGGACACUGUUAAGCAUCAUAUAUUGGUGUGCUCCAUGGAUGGCACUGCCUGUGAUGUACUUAUCGGUGAACAGGGAAGUGACCCAAGAUGUCUUCAGCUCGACAUUAAAAACAGGUUCAUGUACUGGUUAGAUGGAAACAAUUCAUUGAUAGAGCGAGCAGGAAUGGAUGGGUCACAGAGGAAAGUGUUAGUGUGGGAGAGGUCCAGCUCGCUUCAAGGGCUGGCACUGGACCUUCCAGCAGGCCGACUUUACUGGAUGGAUGAACUGCAGGGCAAGGUCUUCACCGUCAACACUAAUGGCACUGACCGCAAGCAUUUGGCAGAAGCUGCCAUUGAUCAACCAUAUGGACUUGAGAUUUGGGAGGAGUAUCUCUACUGGACUGAUAGAAAGCACCACUAUAUCCAUUCAUGCUUGAAGCGCAAUGGCAAGCAGGUUCUCUCCAUCCUGAAGAGCAGCAGCAACGAAAAGUUCUUUAGUUUGAGUGUUUAUCAUCGCUCAAUAAUGAACAAGGGAUCCAACCCAUGUGAUGGCAAGUGUAGUCACCUGUGUCUAUUGUCUCCUUCCUCACCCCAUAACUACACCUGUGCUUGUCCUUUUGGCGUCAUGGGGCUUUCUUCAGAUUUACACACAUGCGUAGGUAUGAAGAACAUUACUCAUCCUGUUCUUGUGAGGGAACACCAGAUGUACUGGUGGAACCCGCAGCACAUAGGUCAGGGUAGCCUCACACUCUGGCGUCCCAACAUUAUCCUGCGUAAGAUUGGGGACCUUGACUAUGAUCCUUCUCAAGACAUGGUAGUGGUGAGUGAUGUGUUGGACAGCACCAUCUAUGGCAUCUCCAUCACAGAGAGCAUUUCAAGACCCAUGGUCAAUAAUGUUGCACGAGCUGUUGGUGUUGCUGUUGACUGGUUACGUAAUAAUCUGUACUGGGUUGAUGGGGUAAAGCGUGGUGUGGAGGUCAUGAGUAUACAUCACGGUGUCUAUCGUGCACAAGUUGUGGCCGACCUUGACCGACCCUCUGACAUUACCUUGGCACCUCUCCUUGGAUACUUGUAUGUGAGUGAUUGUGGCAGUGGUGGCCACAUCCUGCGGUGUGGCUUGGACGGCACCGGGUGUGAGACCAUUGUUGACAGUGUUCUAGCUCAACCAAUCUCUCUAGUAUUUGACAGAGAUCCCGAGAACCAAAGGCUGUAUUGGUGUGACCUACGGCUGGGCCGUAUUGAGAGUGUAGCUGCAGAUGGUUCUGACAGGCAAAAAUUACAGGAUCAUCUUCAUGAGCCAGUUUCAUUGUUGGUGACAGGUGUCCACGUUAUGUGGACCCAGAAGGACACUGAUUAUUUGUUCAUUUCGUCUAAAACUGAUAACGAGUCUGCUCAGAUCAAAAUACUAGGGACUGGACUUUCUGAGAGUAAGGAGAGAAUCUUCAAGUUAGGAGAGGUCAGGUGGGAGGUGCCAGCGGCAGCAACACUCGAUCAUCCCUGUACACACCGUAAUGGCAAGUGCUCUCAACUUUGCCUUGGUAAUGGCAUGAGUAAUAAGGUCUGUGCAUGUGCACUUGGCUUUGAACUAUCAGAAGAUGGCUUUACUUGCCUGAGGACCAAGUGUCAUGGUGAUCGGUUCCUGUGCUCAGGAUCUCCUAGUUGCAUUCCAGCCAGAUGGAGAUGUGACGGUACUGUGGAUUGUGAAGGAGGUAGUGACGAGCAGGACUGUGAGGUCAUCGUCAAGAAUUGUGAUGAAUUUUCAUUCCAGUGCUCUUCUGGCAACUGUAUAGAUAAAACUUGGAGAUGUGAUGGUGUCCAUGACUGUGAUGAUGGUUCGGAUGAGAAUCCAGAAUACUGUACAAAUGUUACCUGCAGGAGUGCACAGUGGCAGUGCACGUCGGGGGAAUGCAUCCCACAUAUGUGGUUGUGUGAUGGGAGAGCAGAGUGUCCGGAUGGCUCAGACGAGAUCAACUGCACAAUGUCAUGUCCUCCUCACAAGUUCACCUGUAAGGAUGGGACCUGCAUACCAUCUUUGUGGCAGUGUGACGGAGGCGAGGACUGCACAGAUGGCUCUGAUGAGCAAGACUGCCCAGUAAACUGCAAGGUGGGAGAAUUCAUGUGCAGCAACAAGCAAUGUGUCCCACUGUAUGUGACAUGUGAUGGUGACCCAGAUUGUGCCGAUGGGUCUGAUGAGAGCCCCACAAAAUGUUCAGUCAUACCUCCUAACUUGCCAGUGGUGUGCCCUAGUGGCCAUGUAAUGUGUGCUCUCAGCCCUUCACAACUUGAACCAAUAUGCAUCCCAAGCACUGCUGUGUGCGAUGGUAAGCGGGACUGUCCUCAGGAGGAUGAUGAGGACUGUACGUGGUGUUCACAAUAUGAGUUUCAUUGUCACAGAACGGAUCGUUGCAUUCCAUUGAGGUGGGUGUGUGACGGUGAGGAGGACUGCCAAGAUGGAUCAGAUGAAGGCCCUGAUGCCAAUUGCAAAAUGUCUAACACUUCCUUGUCUGUACUCGGUGGGAACUAUUUACGUGGGACAUCGUCUGAAAGAAUUUGUGGCGAGACGGAGUUUCUGUGCAGCAUUGGGGACUGUGUGGAGAAUAGGAAGGUUUGCGACGCUACUGCUGACUGCAUUGAUGGCUCUGAUGAGGGAAGCUGGUGUAAAGAAAGCUGUAGAAAUAAUGGUGGAUGUCAGCAUAUAUGUCAUCCCAGCCCUGUGGGUCAUCGGUGCUCCUGCCACCAGGGCUACACACUUGCUCCCAAUGGUGCUGAUUGUGUGGAUAUAAAGGAGUGCAAAGACGAAGCACACUGUAGCCAUUACUGCCAUGAGCUGAGGGGUUCGUAUUAUUGCUCAUGCAAACCGGGCUAUGAAUUACGACCUGAUGGCAAAACCUGCAAGCUUGAAGCUGGUGAGGAAUGGAUGGUGAUGGCAUGGCCAGGUCUCCUAGUAAACCUGAGCCAUAGUUAUCAGAUAGUAAACAAGAUGAAGAUACCAGAGUGGAUCAACAUUAACUCACUGGAGCACAAUCCUCUUGAGAAUAACUUCCUCUAUACUGAUACGCUGCAAGGUGUUGUGGGAACGGUAAGCCUUCCCAGUGGCCAUGAUGGCAGCACUGAUCACAAGGUCCUCCUCACUAAGAGGAAGAAGCCUCAGGGUCUCUCAUUUGACCCUACAACGCAAAAUAUUUAUUUUUCUGAAUCCUUUCAUGCCCAGAGGCCACUUGUGCCACAAGAUGCCAGAGUAGUGAAGAGAAGUGGAGAAAUAAAUUUUAAGAAUGUAUAUUCUUUCAUAUUAGUUUGUGGUGUAACAAAUGGUCAGUGUAGUCUGAUCUUCAAAGCAUUUAAUGUUGAGAUUCCAUCGACUCGUGUGGCUACCAAUGAACGUCUUCUGUUCUUUUGUACUAAUUAUCUUGGCCAUGAAGACCGAUCAGAGAUUUUAGUUUCCCUCUUGGAUGGUCAGAAUAAGAAAGUGCUCUGGAAAGACAAGAUGGUGCGGUGUGGAUCAGUGGCAGUUGAUGAAGCGAAAGAGAGAGUUUAUUGGACGGACACUGCUCUUAACACUAUCGAGUCAGUCUCAUGGGAAGGUAGCAAACACCGUAUUGUCCAGGAGAACAGGGUUCACUCGCCCAUUAGUUUGUCAUUGACUGGUGAUUGGGUCAUGUGGAUUAAUCUGGGAGGUCAUGAAGCUGUCCGCUGUAGCAAGAUGGAUGCAAGUGUAUGCAACUCCAGGACCUUAACUUCACCUGCCAAGGCCUUGGCUGUUGUCCCUCCAGUCAUGAGUAUUGGACGAGAUAUUUGUGCCUUAACAACGUGUCCACAACUCUGUACUUCAUACAACAAUUCUGCAACAUGCUUAUGCCAAGUAGGGUUUAGUGAAUCUUCAGCUACAGUAGGAAAAUGUAUAGCGGUGGGAUCUUGUGACGGUAUUGAAUGUAAACAUGGAGGAGAGUGUGAGCCUCACUCCAGCACACACUACAUCUGCAGGUGUGGUGUGGGAGAGUCUGGUGCUCAUUGUGAAGAUGAAGGGGUGCACUCAACUAGUGCUAAAGACAGCUUUAUCACUGUUACCAUCAGUCUCUCAUUACUAGCUGUAGCCUUGGCCACCUUCGGUUGCUGUUGGUACAGGAAGAGAGUGGUAACUUUUUGUAAAACUAAAGAUGGAAGCUGCAAUCCAGCUUUACGGUUUUCAAACCCCACAUUUGGUUUGACCAGCGAUGGUGAUGGUAGCUGGAGUUCGGAGUCCAGCUGUAAACUGUCUUAUGAUGGCAGCCAUUCCCAAUGUGUGGUUUUGAAUCUAGAAGAAACCCAAAACUUUGAAAGCCAACUUCAUGCACUGGAAGAAAAUCAGGACCCAUGUUGCAGCACAGCCCCUUAGUGGCAGAAUAAUUGACAAUGACAUGGCAUCCUCUCAAGGCCCAGCUUAUUUGUUUUGGCACUUGGCUGGUACAUUCUUUCAUAGGGACUUGGGAUGCUUCCCUCAAUCACCUGCAAUCAAAAUAUACAUCAACAGUCUCUGGAUUGGUUGAAAAAUUAAUAUAGUAAGGUAGGAUAUAAUUGUCAUCUCCCCUGCAUUGUUUAUAUAUUGUCAGGUGACAUGAUCCACAUCAUCCUGUUUGCAGAUGACACAGAGCUACGGGAAAGUAGGAAUUUAAAAACAAUAUUGAGGCCUUAUAAAAUGAUAUCCAUGAACUACAUUAUACAUAUGUUUAGAAGACUGUCAAAUUAUACAUAUAAUUAUACACUCCAUGCAAAUAAAAGGACUCUGUCUAUGGAACUCCCUCCCUAUGAAUUAAAAAAAUAAUUUGUUUUCUCUUUUCUUACGUUCCCAUUCUUACUCCUAUUCUUAUCCCCUUACCCCCUUUUACACUUAUCCUAUACAUACUUUUUGCCUUGCUCUUGCCUUCUUUUAAGAUUUCCUCCUCCUCACCUCUCUCUUACCUAACUUAAUGCCCGUGCCUCCCUCGUCUCAACAUCAAGAUUCCACUCUUGCAAGUGAAAAAGGAACGAUUCCUCAAGCUACAAGAGUGCUUUUAGUGCUACGAUUACUCCCACCCCACCAACAAGUGUCACCACCCCGUCCAGAAGUGCAGCCUUUGCGCCCAGGACCAUCAUUACUUCAUUUGCAAGUCAAAAAACCCAUUGUUGCCUCUGCAGCGGCGAUCACCUUGCAAUUUCCCAUCACUGUCCUCGCAGACAGGAAAUCAUUAGGCAUGAGGCUGAAACCAAUAAAGCCAAAUCUUCUACUUAAGCUACUGGAGCAGCCACCAGCACCUCACCUCCCACCAACCUAUCAGAAGACUUCCCAUUCCUACCAAACAGUGGCACCUCCCAACACACUCCACAUAUGUCAGUUGCUUAAUUUAAAAAUUGUACUUGUGGUCGAUCUCGAACCCAUUGUUGAUGUGACUACAA
rnacentral:misc_RNA from 1 species